AAAAAUUGCUCCGAGCCGAAGAGCCUGUGUCCCUGUCUGCGGGGAUAUGGCCCGAGGCCGACAGGGUAAGACUGGAAACGGUCUUGCCUCCCGUGUUUGGAAAGGAGUUUUCUGAU
rnacentral:ncRNA from 1 species